rnacentral:lncRNA from 1 species
CGGAGGUCUGUCCUAGCCACUUUUAAGGCUUCUGCAUGUUGUUAUCUGUUUCAGCAAUUCUCUAACUUCAAACUCAAAGAAUCCACAGAGAAAAGUGACAGUGAUAAAGGACAAGAGAUGAUUUCUCAAGUGAUGGACAAUGUAAAGCCUUGGUCUUAAGAGAUAGGCUAUUGGGCAGUUGCUGGUCCUUUAAAAAAAAAAAAAAUCACAGAAUUACACAGAAUUUCAGGGGUUGGAAGGGACAUUUGGGUAUCAUUGAGUCCAACUCCUGGAUAAAGCAGGUUCCCUACAGUAGGUUGCACAGGAAAGAAGAAGAAAAAUAAGAAGAUGAAGAAAAAGAAAGGAAAUUGAAAUAGUAUCCAAAGGCACAGUCUCAGAAUAUCGUAUGAAGAGAAAAAAUAUCUGCCCAGAUAUGAUUACUCUGGAGACAAAGGUCUAGCUUUAACAGUCACGUUUUUACUUUCUCAUCAUCCUUACAGUAAGAAAGCAAAAAAAAAAGCAGAAAAAAAGCCCAUCUUCCCUGGCAGAUUCAGACAUGAAGAAGAGUCAGUCUGUUCAAGGAUGCCACUCCAAGCACUGGGCUGUAGAGGGCAAGGGCAGCCAGGUGAAAAUGGAUCAUGUGCCAAGCGGGUUGGGCAAUGCCUCAGCAACCAUCCUGGUGUGGGUCAGGAGCAAUCCUAUGCACAGAUUUUUGGGUAUAUUACAGAGCCAGAAGUCAGUACAAGGCACAUGGGUCAGCCCAACACAGAGACUGCCAUUAAGCACUGGUGCAAAAACCAAACAGCUGAGCAUCAUACUGGAG